rnacentral:rRNA from 2 species
GCAGUUGAGCGCUGAGGUUGGUACUUGUACCGACUGGAUGAGCAGCGAACGGGUGAGUAACGCGUGGGGAAUCUGCCUUUGAGCGGGGGACAACAUUUGGAAACGAAUGCUAAUACCGCAUAAAAACUUUAAACACAAGUUUUAAGUUUGAAAGAUGCAAUUGCAUCACUCAAAGAUGAUCCCGCGUUGUAUUAGCUAGUUGGUGAGGUAAAGGCUCACCAAGGCGAUGAUACAUAGCCGACCUGAGAGGGUGAUCGGCCACAUUGGGACUGAGACACGGCCCAAACUCCUACGGGAGGCAGCAGUAGGGAAUCUUCGGCAAUGGACGAAAGUCUGACCGAGCAACGCCGCGUGAGUGAAGAAGGUUUUCGGAUCGUAAAACUCUGUUGGUAGAGAAGAACGUUGGUGAGAGUGGAAAGCUCAUCAAGUGACGGUAACUACCCAGAAAGGGACGGCUAACUACGUGCCAGCAGCCGCGGUAAUACGUAGGUCCCGAGCGUUGUCCGGAUUUAUUGGGCGUAAAGCGAGCGCAGGUGGUUUAUUAAGUCUGGUGUAAAAGGCAGUGGCUCAACCAUUGUAUGCAUUGGAAACUGGUAGACUUGAGUGCAGGAGAGGAGAGUGGAAUUCCAUGUGUAGCGGUGAAAUGCGUAGAUAUAUGGAGGAACACCGGUGGCGAAAGCGGCUCUCUGGCCUGUAACUGACACUGAGGCUCGAAAGCGUGGGGAGCAAACAGGAUUAGAUACCCUGGUAGUCCACGCCGUAAACGAUGAGUGCUAGAUGUAGGGAGCUAUAAGUUCUCU